GACGAACGCUGGCGGCGUGCUUAACACAUGCAAGUCGAACGGAAAGGCCCUGCUUUUGUGGGGUGCUCGAGUGGCGCACGGGUGAGUAACACGUGAGUAACCUGCCCUUGACUUUGGGAUAACUUCAGGAAACUGGGGCUCAAACCGGAUAGGAGCUCCUGCUGCAUGGUGGGGGUUGGAAAGUUUCGGCGGUUGGGGCUGGAUUCGCGGCUUAUCCGCUUGUUGGGGGGGUAGUGGCUUACGAAGGCUUUGAAGGAUAGCCGGCCUGGGAGGUUGACCGGCGUCAAGGGGCCUAAGGGACGGACCAGACGCCUACGGGAGGCAAUGGGGGGGAAUAUUACGCAGUAGGCGGGAGCCAGAGACGGCAAUGCCGCGAGCGGGAUGACGUGCUUCGAGGGAUAAACCGCUUUCGACGGUGACGUGCCCGGCUUGACGGUAAUGGGUAAAGAAGCACCGGCUAACUACGUG
rnacentral:rRNA from 1 species